GAUGAACGCUGACAGAAUGCUUAACACAUGCAAGUCGAUGAGAAGACUCCCUUCGGGGAGAGGGUAUCAAGGCGGACGGGUGAGUAACGCGUAAAGAACUUGCCGUAGGGACAGGGAUAACCGAUGGAAACGACGGAUAAGACCUGAAAUAAUGGAUAUGUGGCAUAACGUAUUGCUGAAAAGCAAUACCAUACGAGAGCUUUGCGUCCUAUUAGCAAGUUGGUAGUGUAAUGGACUACCAAGGCGAUGAUAGGUAGCCGGCCUGAGAGGGUGGACGGCCACAAGGGGACUGAGAUACGGCCCGUACUCAUACGGGAGGCAGCAGUGGGGAAUAUUGGACAAUGGAGGUAACUCUGAUCCAGCAAUUCUGUGUGCACGAAGAAGGUUUUCGGAUUGUAAAGUGCAUUAAGUUGGAAAGAAAAAAACGACGGUACCAACAGAAUAAGCGACGGCUAAAUACGUGCCAGCAGCCGCGGUAA
rnacentral:rRNA from 1 species